UACACAUUUUAGAAAACUUACUUCUGGGAAAAUAGCGGCCAUCUAGCAAAGAAAUGCAUAGAUAAUGACAAAAUUAUUUGAUUUCUACACAUUUUAGAAAAGGUUUAAAAAAGUUAACAAAAUGAUGGUAU